rnacentral:tRNA from 1 species
GAGGGUAUAGCUCAGUGGUAGACAGCAUACUUAGCAUGUGUGAGGUCCUGGGUCCAAUCCCCAGUACUUCCA